CCCAGCCUGGGAACCCCGAGCCGUGGGGCCGAGGAGAAGGGGAAGCAGUUCUCUCAGCUGGAGGGCGGUGGACUGGCUGGGCUCAAAGAAGGGGCGAAAACAACAAGGCAGAGAUGCCCUGAGAGGAGGAGGAAGGGACCCUGGGCUGGUGCGGCCGUCCGUGUGAAUGCAGCUGAGCUCCUCAAGGCCAAGAGGCAGGAGAGGGAGGAAAUGUCACAGUCUGAGGGCAUACACUGGAGAUAGGGGCCAGCCCGGUGGAGGUGGCUUUGGGGCCCAGGAGAGCAAGGUAAGUCAGGUCCGGGAGCAGUUAGCAAGCCUGAGAGCCGCGUCCACGUCUGUGGCCCGAUCAAGGCAUGGAGGAGACAGAGCUGGGUGCCACUGCUUAGGGCUUGACCUUUCGUGGGCAAAGACUUGCAUGGGAGUCUCCCAAGAGAUUUUAGAUGCUCCGAGUCUGCACCUAGGAGCUCCAUUGGUGGUGCUUGGAUCUGGCUUCGUGCUCUGUGGUUUUGAACGCACAGUCUUCGCGCUGCCCGGGGUCCAGGCGGCGGUGAGCAGUGAGGAGCUGUCUCAAGGCGUGAGUCUCUUCUCAGGCGAUCCCAGAUAAGAGGAAAUGAGAGAGAGGUUUUCUGACUUCCAACUCAUUAGGGACCAGCACUCUUGGAGUUCUGUGGGGUUUGUACAGACAGAACAGCACAGCAGAACCAUUAUCAAGCUUCAGAGACAUUGUGGGGUCUCCUGGCAAAUCAAAAUGUUUUUUAAUGUAUGACAUGUAUGAAGUUGAUGAAAAUUCAUGACUUCUCUCCAUCACGACUGUUUCAGCUGACAAAGAUUUGCUCUUAUCACGGCAAGAGGGGGCACCUGUGGCCCUUAACAAACUCACCCUUCACUCUGCUCCAUAGAAACCACCAGCCUCAGGAUAAAUAUGUUACUUUGGAUAUGCAUGUCACAGUCAAUAAUAAAGAGGCAUGGCAGCUCUACCAUACAGGUUCUGAGGAGUCCCCACAUGCCUUCUUCCCUGCCUGCCAUGGCUUAGCUUGAGGUCUCUCAAGCUAACAUCCUUGAACAUCCUUGAACACAUGUGAGCUCACUUUUUAAAGGGUGAUGCCUGGAAUAUGGGAAAACCCCCAGUCCAAUCGUCAGCAGACUUACUGGUUGCCAUCUUGAUGAAGAGCAACACUACGGAAGUGCACUGAAUGGGGCAGCCCAGCAGACUCGGCCAUUAAAGGGUAAGAAGCCUGAUCCCUUCUCUUGGAGCUACAGACGAUGAAGUCUGCAAAGGCCUGGAACUAGAAAACAGACGCUCAGUGCUAUCCUCAUGCUACAUGCCAUAAAUACACUGUGUGAGGGCGUCAAGCACCCCAGGGGCUUAACACCGGUGUUGGAGGCACUUUACAGAAAAAGAAGUCAAGGCUCAGAAGUUGAGCUCGGUCCUGUUUCUUUUACCAUCACAGCAUGACAGUUUCAUCAUUCUAAUUAAGUUUAAGAUACGACCUCUGAGGCAUAAGGUCUAAGUUCUACUCAGCGUAUGCUGGGCAUGAGAAAUAAUAUUGGACACAUAAUGGGGAAUUUUCUCCUUUGUCCUCAGAGCGGUAGCUUUAGUCUGCUUAGAGUACUCCCACAGGCUCACUCCGCAUUACCUGGUGUCCUACCCGGAGUCACAGGCUUUGGAGACUCACCUGCCACGUUUGGAAUACCAGUGGAGAUCCGAGUCAAAGUGGAAUUUAUACAGCAGCUGGUGCCAGUCAGGGCUAAUGAUGAGACUUCAGCUUAAUAAAAAGACCCCCAACUGAGCACAACCAUCUUGAAGAAAGUAUACUUCUCCAACAGCUUUCAAUCAGUUCAAGAGAGACACCUUAAUUGGGAGGAGGAAGAGCUGCGCGGCAGUCGUCGCCCUGCCAAUCUCAGAUCCAUAGCGUUGCCCCUGCUCUUCCGUACACGUAGCCUCGCCUUCCGUCAACUGCAUCUGCCUCCUCCCCUCCGGAACGGGAUCUUUGUUUCAGCUGAGACUGCUUGGUGAUGCCCCCUUCUGAUUCACCCAUUUGCGCUAGCACCCCUCAGUGAAGUCCAGAUGUGUAAUUAGGAAGCCCAAUGUCUUUAAAAUUAAAACUUCUGUUCCUUGUUAUUGGAAAUAAGUGCUUUUGACAUUUUGUGUUUAAAAAAAAAAAAAAACAUUUUCUUGAAAUAAAGCCAC